rnacentral:rRNA from 1 species
CGGCUCGGAAUCGAGCUGUGGUAAAAGAUGGGGACCGCAAGGCCUGUCGCUUAGAGAUGAGCUCGCGUCCUAUCAGCUUGUUGGCGGAGUAACGGCCCACCAAGGCUUUUGACGGGUAGCUGGUCUGAGAGGAUGGUCAGCCACAUUGGGACUGAGACACUGCCCAGACUCCUACGGGAGGCUGCAGUCGAGAAUCUUUUGCAAUGCCCGAAAGGGUGACAAUGCGACGCCGCGUGUGCGAUGAAGGUCUUCGGAUUGUAAAGCACUGUCAGUC